rnacentral:rRNA from 1 species
UUUCCGGUUGAUCCUGCCGCCGGCCACUGCUAUCAGGUUCCGACUAAGCCAUGCAAGUUAAGGGGUCGUAAGACACCAGCGAACCGCUCAGUAACACGUGGAUAAUCUAACCUUGAGUAAGGGAUAACCUCGGGAAACUGAGGAUAAUACCUUAUAAUUGCUUAAAACUGGAAUGUUUAAGCAAUAAAAGUUCCGACGCUCAAGGAUGAGUCUGCGACCUAUCAGGUAGUAGGUGGUGUAAUGGACCACCUAGCCUCAGACGGGUACGGGCCCUGGGAGGGGUAGCCCGGAGAUGGACUCUGAGACAUCAGUCCAGGCCCUACGGGGCGCAGCAGGCGCGAACACUGUGCAAUGCGCGAAAGCGCGACACGGGGAGCUUGAGUGUCUUGGCAUAGCCAAGACUUUUCUCAUUCCUAAAAAGCAUGAGGAAUAAGUGCUGGGUAAGACGGGUGCCAGCCGCCGCGGUAACACCCGCAGCACAAGUGGUGGUCACUUUUAUUGAGCCUAAAGCGUUCGUAGCCGGUUUUGUAAAUCUUUAGAUAAAGCCUGAAGCUUAACUCCAGAAAGUCUGAAGAGACUGCAAGACUUGAGAUCGGGUGAGGUUAAACGUACUUUCAGGGUAGGGGUAAAAUCCUGUAAUCCCGGAAGGACGACCAGUGGCGAAAGCGUUUAACUAGAACGAAUCUGACGGUAAGGAACGAAGGCUAGGGUAGCAAACCGGAUUAGAUACCCGGGUAGUCCUAGCUGUAAACACUGCCCAUUUGAUGUUGCUUUUCCGUUGAGGGAAGGCAGUGUCGGAGCGAAGGUGUUAAAUGGGCCGCUUGGGAAGUAUGGUCGCAAGACUGAAACUUAAAGGAAUUGGCGGGGGAGCACCGCAACGGGAGGAAUGUGCGGUUUAAUUGGAUUCAACGCCGGA